rnacentral:ncRNA from 1 species
UCUCCCUAUAACAUAUUGAGUUAUCUCUAGAAGAAAGGCAUUGCUAAAUCUCCAAGAAUUCUAUGAUCUUGAUGCAAGUUCAUUGUAAGCUCCUGAGUUUGGACUUCCCGGGAGGUUUAAAGGACCCUGCUGCAUCACGAAUCUCUUUUGGCGAGUCGGGCUGUUUGGGAAUGCAGCCUUAAGUGGGUGGUAAAUUCCAUCCAAGGCUAAAUGCUGGUGAGAGACCGAUAGUGCACAAGUACCGCGAGGGAAAGAUGAAAAAGACUUUGAAAAGAGAGUUAAAAAGUGCUUGAAAUUGCUAGGAGGGAAGCGAAUGGAUGCCUUGUGCGCCCCUUGGUUGUGUGUGGAACGGCGAGAGCUGGUCUGCCAAGAAAUGCAAGGGGCUGUCCAGCAUGGGAGGACGCGGCGGGAUAACGGCUUGUGAGCCUCUGGCUUGCCAAUGCCACUGCCGCCUCUAAAAAUGGCAGAGUGCUCUGGUGCCCCACCAGAUGCUGGAACUUGGGCGUUCCAUCCGACCUGUCUUGAAACACGGACCAAGGAGUCUAACAUGUAUGCGAGUCUGUGGGUGUUAAACCCAUACAAGCGAAAGGAAACUAAUUCAUGGGAUCCCCUUCUGGGGUGCACCACGGACCGAUCUUGAUCUUUUGAGAAGGGUUUGAGUGUUAGCAUACCUGCUGGGACCCGAAAGAUGGUGAACUAUGCCUGAGCAGGGCGAAGCCAGAGGAAACUCUGGUGGAGGCUCGUAGCGAUACUGACGUGCAAAUCGUUCGUCAGACUUGGGUAUAGGGGCGAAAGACUAAUCAAACCAUCUAGUAGCUGGUACCCUCCAAAGUUUCCCUCAGGAUAGCUAGAGCUCUUGCUGAGUUUUAUCGGGUAAAGCGAAUGAUUAGAGGCAUCGGGGGUGAAACACCCUCGACCUAUUCUCAAACUUUAAAUAGGUAAAGCAGCCGGGGUUGCUCUGUUGAGCCCCGGCCGUGAAUGCAAGCUCCAAGUGGGCCAUUUUUGGUUAAGAAAAUCGACUAGGCUGUUUUCAGUACAUUCGUCCGAGGUGUAGGAUCAUUUGCCCGAUAACCCGGUACCGACCACGACCAAAACGACUUCCCUAAGCAAUUCCUAUGUCACCUCCUAUGGUUUGGGUGUUCGGGGGGUACCUGUAUCAUGGAAGACGAGGAUUAGUAAUGCAAUCUCUACUAGCUCUAUCUCUCAUUUUGUGAAAGUACGAAGCUAAGUUUCAAAACUGAACUGAGAUUUGCACGACUGAUGCUCGCGAGCCAAUGUACUCACGUACAUGCCUGGGCCGCACAUCAGAAGUGACUUCCAAAGAUUAGAACUAAGGAACAUGCUCAACCUGAUCACUAUCCGUUGACUCAUGGAUCUCGCCAUCUGGACCAGUCGCUGUCAUCCCGUCUUUUUUCUAAGCAGAUGAUUAGAAGCUGGAACAGUCGAGAGUACAAGCACUACCUGGGCAGAGUUAGUGAGAGCCGCUUGUGUCGUUGUGGUGUUUAGUUCCAGCGCUCUGGCCGAGAGAGAUUCCUACAGGCCAAGGGUAAAAAACUGCAGAAAAACGAAUCAUUUGUACCCGUUUUUGCAUGGCCAGGAAUGCAGUAGUGAGAUUCCUCGCGACCUUAGUGGUGGGUGUAAGCUCGUUUUGAGCUAUCCCCAAACAAACACUUCGUUGGCACUGCUCAUUCUUGCGGUGUGCAACGAAGUGGCUGUUGAUCCUGGAGUGGGCGAGAAUUGUGUGUGGUUGUGCUAGCGCACAGCCUUGCAAUGGCCCAAGCUUGCUCUGCUUGUGGAUGCGCUCCUGGAGAAUGCGGCGGCGGCGGAUGCAAGCGAGAAACCCUAACAUUAGGGUUUUUCCCGUUGCUUCAUACCUUUCGGUGUGAGAAAAUCCAGCACCCACAGCCAUGAAGUCGAAUAGCUAUAGCUUGUAAUUAGGUUUGCCUAUCUGUAUAGCAUGUUUCUUUGCGCGAGAUUCUGUGAGGAAUCCAAGGUUUUGUUUUUUACCAUACCACGUCUACUCAUGUAUCCCAUUAGUUUAUUCAUGGGGAAAACCAGAGUUUUCUGUAAGUAAGGUUUCCUUAAAAAUUAUUUUUAAGGAAGACCUUCCUGUGAUUAAGGCGUGGGAUAUGUCUCACAAUGAGAGAACAGCAACUUGUGUUGUUUUUUUAAAAUUUACCAAUCAAAACACAGUUGUAGUCAAAGGUGUGCUUACAUAUUUUAGUUCAACGCAUAACCAAGGACUGCAUGGUAAGUUUGGGGGAACUAAUUCUUUUGUUUUUCACAGUCCAAAAAGGCAUAAAUAUCAAAUCUAUUAUGUUUCGAUAUGAUGCUAAAGUGAUGGAUAGUCUUGUCUAGAAGACAGAGUUCCUGGUGCUCAGCUUGAGUUUGCUGAGUCGUCGAGCUGUGGUGGCCUAUUGGCCGGUUCUCUCCAGAUGUCAAAGAGAAUUUCCAAGACUGCUUGCACCGGUGUCAGGGGGCUGGUGAGAAUGAUACGAUCCAGACCACUAAGGAUGAGUCGUCUCAAUGCAUAGCGAUGGAAUCCUUUUUCCACGAAGCAUUCAACGAGAUUAUCAAUCUCAAGGACGAUACCACCGGUGGUAUUAAUCAGAUAGAAAAGUGCAAAGACUUGCCCCAGGAUUACUUUGGAUGAGUUUGCAACGGGCCGGUUUGAAUCUCGAUGAAUGUACAGCGAGACUUUGAAUGAAAGUGAUCGGUGCUUGUCAUAUUUUGUGGUUAAGAAAGUACCAUCAACCCGUAUGAUCUGGAUCUGAAGGCUCAAGAAGUGAGCGGACAGAUUCACAAGCGAGCCAUCCGUGCCUAUGAAGCAGAACUGGCGAUGCAGGAUGAACCGAAAGCCGGGCUACGGUGCCAAAGUGCGCGCUAACCCAGAUCCCACAAAGGGUGUUGAUUGAUUAAGACAGCAGGACGGUGGUCAUGGAAGUCGAAAUCCACUAAGGAGUGUGUAACAACUCACCUGCCGAAUCAACUAGCCCCGAAAAUGGAUGGCGCUUAAGCGCGUGGCCUAUGCCCGGCCAUCGCGGCGAUUGCGAGGCCCCGAUGAUUAGGAGGGCGUGGGGGUUGUGGUACAGCUCUGGGCACGAGCCUAAGUGAAAUGGCCCCUAGUGCAGAUCUUGGUGGUAGUAGCAAGUAUUCAAAUGAGAACUUUGAAGACUGAAGUGGAGAAAGGUUCCAUGUGAAUAGCAAUUGGACAUGGGUUAGUCAAUCCUAAGAGAUGGGGAAAUCCUGUGUGAAGGGCGCAAUGCGCUCCGCCCAUCGAAAGGGAAGCGGGUUAAUAUUCCCAGGCAGUGGGCGGUAACGCCGACGAAUCUAGAGACACUGGCGGGGGCCCCGGGAAGAGUUAUCUUUUCUUUUUAACAGCCUGCCGACCCUAAAAUCAGUUCAACCAGAGAUAGGGUCUCACGGCCGGCAGAGCACCGCACGUCUUGCGGUGUCUGGUGCGCCCCUGGCGGUCCUUGAAAAUCUGGAGGAGCGAGUGUUGAGCUUGCCCAGUCAUACUCAUAACCGCAUCAGGUCUCCAAGGUGAGCAGCCUCUAGUCGAUGGAACAAUGUAGGUAAGGGAAGUCGGCAAAAUGGAUCCAUAACUUCGGGAAAAGGAUUGGCUCUGAGGGUUGGGCUUAGGGGUCUGCGGCUUGACCCUGUAGGCUGCUGGUGGUCUGCCCGAGCUGCUUGCGCGGCGAGGGCGGGCCCCGGCGUGCCGACCUGGUGAGGGACGCAGAACGCCCCUCCCCGUGGGGGGCAUUCCCUAGGCAUCGAACAACCGACUUAGAACUGGAACAGACAAGGGGAAUCCGACUGUUUAAUUAAAACAAAGCAUUGCGAUGGUCUCUGCGGAUGUUGACGCAAUGUGAUUUCUGCCUAGUGCUCUGAAUGUCAAAGUGAAGAAAUUCAACCAAGCGCGGGUAAACGGCGGGAGUAACUAUGACUCUCUUAAGGUAGCCAAAUGCCUCGUCAUCUAAUUAGUGAUGCGCAUGAAUGGAUUAAUGAGAUUCCCACUAUCCCUAUCUACUAUCUAGCGAAACCACAUCCAAGGGAACGGGCUUGGA